rnacentral:rRNA from 1 species
AUUGGAGGGCAAGUCUGGUGCCAGCAGCCGCGGUAAUUCCAGCUCCAAUAGCGUAUAUUUAAGUUGUUGCAGUUAAAAAGCUCGUAGUUGAACUUCAGACCUGGUCGGGCGGUCCGCUUAACGGCGUGUACUGUCUGACUGGGCCUUACCUCUUGGUGAGCCGGCGUGCCCUUUAUUGGUGUGCGUCGGGGAACCAGGACUUUUACCUUGAGAAAAUUAGAGUGUUCAAAGCAGGCGCUUUUCGCCUGAAUACAUUAGCAUGGAAUAAUAAAACAUGACCGCCGGUCGCGUUUUGUUGGUUAACCGUCCGAGGUAAUGAUUAAUAGGGACAGUCGGGGCCAUUAGUAUUUAAUUGUCAGAGGUGAAAUUCUUGGAUUUAUGAAAG